UUGCCCGAUCGUGGGGCCGGGACCCUUCUGGAAGGGGUCCAGGGACAAUGUCUGGGACUCCACGGAGCUGCUCGUGCAGUGGCUGCGCUCACCGCGCCGUGCACCCCACCCCCACCUGCUGGACACGGUCUCUGCAGGACCCAGCCCUGAUGCAACAGGACCCUCUGUGAUGCGGCCGUGAUGUCACACUCGGGGUGGGACCCUGCCCCUCCCAGGGUGGGACCCGUCCCCCAGGACCCCUCCCUGCACUCACAGGACCCAGUGCUGAGGUGACGGGAGCCCUACUUUCUGAGAGAUGGACAGACAGCUUCUCCCAUCCACUAGGGGACGGACGGGUGGACGACAGGCCCAUGUGCCCAGGGGUGGGGAGAGGGACCGUCAGGCUCAUGCAAGCUGGUGGGGGUGAACACAGCUCGUCCUCUGCCUCCAUCGAGGGCCUGGUCCUGUCCUGUCCGGGGCGGGGGCUUCUCCCCAUCCUCACACAGACAAGUCCACUGUUUCCAGGUCAUUUCAAGUGGAGACAGUGGGAAAGCACAGGUGAGUGAAAAGAGCAAGAAACCGCUCACCUCCGAGCUGAGACCCAGUUUUCUCCAUCUUUGUUCUGUCCUUUGCCUUUUGACAUUGUGCUCAGUUUGCAGAAAUGCCACAGCAGCCCGGGGACCAGUUGUGUGAAAGCUUAGAAUCAGCACAGCUUGCCCCAGGCGAUUCCACUGGUCCUGGGGUGUCUGGGACCCUCUGCAGCCUGAAGCCUGCGGCUUCCUCUGUCCAGGGGGGUCCUUCCUACUUCUUCCAGCUUCUGGGGCCUCCAGACCACAGAAGGCUGCCAAGGCUGAUUACUGCGGACAGACGAGGGGACCCACAUCCUGCUUGAAGGCGCAGCACUGCAACCCGCACGUGCACGACACGGAUGGUCUGGGCGCGGACCUCAGCAUCGGCAAUAGAGGAGUCGCCGGCGACGCUGUGUCCUUGUCCACGUGAGCUUGUGGUCAGGGGCUGUGCGCGGAGCAGGACCGAGGGGACCUAGGGGGAUCUGGGGGCCGGGGUGGUUGCACUGAGGCCCGUCCACACCUCAGUGGGCGCCGCUCGCAUUGCCUGCUCCUGUUGCUGUGGGGGUCCAAGCCCCGCACUCACAGCUCCCACUCGUGACCUUUUUCUCAUCCCCCUUUCCAAGUCUUUGUCCCUUGCUCCCGACCUUGUCCCCCUGUCCUAUCUCCCCUUGUCUGAGCCACCCCAGGCCACAUCCAUGCUGCACCCCUGAGGCCCCACCCCUUUGAGCCCUGCCUGGUAGAAACCCCACCCACUGCACGUGCUUCU